UGACGCCAAAAAACGAGCUUUAUUCUGUAAUGUCAUAUUGGAAAUAAUGUUUUUAACUCUUCCGGCUUCAACGCAACGCACAAAAUAAAAUUCAUAGCUCUCAUUCCGUUUCGACCUUAGCCUAUUAUCUGUAAUAUUCGAUCGAUUAUUCAACUGUCAAAAUGCACUAUAAAAAAUGGUGGCGUGAAUAAUGCGGACGCAUUCCGGAAUAUAGGAACGGCAAAUCGCUGCAUUAUUAAAUGUACAUUUCGGUUAAAAUAAAGUGCAUGCAUAUAAAUAGAAUAUAGGCGACGAUGUGUGAUAUUAAAAUUUAAGUUGUCGCAUGUGUUUUUGACGAAAAAAAUGCAUGUGAAUAUAUCCUAAUUUAUUACAUAUCCCAUGAAGAUGUCAACAAAACUUGACGAAACGUUGGAACAAAUAAAAUAAAAGAAUUUGUUAUUUGCGGGACUAAGGUCUAAAGGGCUUAAGAUAAAAUUUAAUAAAAUCUAAUUGGACCAAUAAAAUCUGAAUACAACAGUU